rnacentral:sRNA from 1 species
ACUAUAUGACUGUGUGUACAUAUACAUACAUGCACACAUACAUGUAUGCAUGUGCACACAUACCUGUGUGCAUAUCCAUGCAUAUAUGCAUACGUGUAUACAUGCAUGUAUACAUGUGUGCAUGCACAUGUGUAUACAUAUGUGUAAUACAAU